rnacentral:rRNA from 1 species
GACGAACGCUGGCGGCGUGCUUAAUACAUGCAAGUCGAACGGUGAAGGAGUGGUUUUGUGGGGUGGACGAGUGGCGAACGGGUGAGUAACACGUGAGUAACCUGCCCGUGAGUGGGGGAUAACUAUAGGAAACGAGGGCUAAUACCGGAUAGGAGCAGAUGCUGCAUGGCGGGGACUGGAAAGGUGCGGUGGUUGGGGAAGGAGGUGGGGCUGAGUAGCAUGAGGGUGGGGGAGGGGCUAAGCAAGGCUUUGACGGGUAGCCGGCCUGGGAGGGUGACCGGCCCCAUUGGGCCUCAGAUACCGCCCAGACUCCUACGUGAGCCAUCAGUGGAAAAUUUUGCACGAUGCGCGGAGUCAGUAUACAGCAACGCCGCGUCCGAGAGGACGGCCGUCGGGUUGUAAACCGCGUUCGCCUGUGACGUUGCGUGUGUGACGGUAAUGGGUAAAGAAGCACCGGCUAACUACGUG